UUAACAGUUUACUAGGGUUCCGUCUGGAAACAGAGUCUGGUCCGAGAGUAAACGGUCCCGUGCAUGGGGGACUACACGGAAGGAUAAAAACCUGGGAGAU
rnacentral:sRNA from 1 species